rnacentral:lncRNA from 1 species
GUGAAAAGGCAGAUCUCAUCCGUGUUACUCCAGUUUGGCCAGAAGUAGAAGUUUCCUCUACUUCCAGGGUUUUCAAAUCUCUCAGGCUCUCAGUGGAGAUGACUCCAGUUUCCCUAGUGCACAAAGGUAAACAUAAGAAAGGAAAACUUUUGUACGGUGAAUUUGGCUAAAAAGAAGAAUGACGUCUCUGGGAACUUUUGCUGCUUAAAGGAAUGAGAGCAAAAUCCUGGCAUGACCAUGAUCCUUCACUUCUCAGUGGAACUCGGUGUUUCUGAAUGAAUCACAGUAAAGAAGCAUUACUUGUGGGAUGUGGCCAACCUUUCUGUUCAGCUUUUAUUGCAGAGCUGAUGGCAACAGCUGGACUUUACAAAGGUGAUGGUGGCUCAAAGCCUUUCUGUUCCACUGUGUCUCAUAAAGCUUUUAUGAAGCCUCAGUCAUCUCUUCAGCAGAUCCUGUGUCAUGAAGAAGGAUGCAGAGAACACAAGGAGCACCCCAUCCAUGGUGCAUCCCAGUAUAUUCAUCUGCUACUUAAAGGUCUUGGAAGGAGGAAGAAAGAAAACCUCCAGGAAGUCUUCUGGGUGACUUCAGCAACAAUUGCAUUACCCUUUUCCAGGGUAAAGGAGGGAAGAAGAGAAGUCUGA